AGCAGAGUGGUGCAGUGGCAGCAUGCUGGGCCCAUAACCCAGAGGUUAAUGGAUCAAAAUCAUCCUCUACUA
rnacentral:tRNA from 1 species